CUAUCCUUUCUCAGUUAUUAUAGAAUGAUGAAGAUUAUAGUAAACUACCAUGGUUUGAUAGGUUAUUACAGACUUUUGAGAAGGAUCACCAACUCCAAAAAAAAUCAGUGAAUUUAGUGGGAGGUUCAUCUGCAGGGCGUCGAUCCUCUAAGAGAGGAAAGAAGAAAAAGGUGCAAAAAUCCCGUGCCAUCGAUCCCAAGC
rnacentral:lncRNA from 1 species